AUUGAACGCUGGCGGCAGGCCUAACACAUGCAAGUCGAGCGGAUGAAGGGAGCUUGCUCCUGGAUUCAGCGGCGGACGGGUGAGUAAUGCCUAGGAAUCUGCCUGGUAGUGGGGGAUAACGUCCGGAAACGGGCGCUAAUACCGCAUACGUCCUGAGGGAGAAAGUGGGGGAUCUUCGGACCUCACGCUAUCAGAUGAGCCUAGGUCGGAUUAGCUAGUUGGUGGGGUAAAGGCCUACCAAGGCGACGAUCCGUAACUGGUCUGAGAGGAUGAUCAGUCACACUGGAGCUGAGACACGGUCCAGACUCCGACGGGAGGCAGCAGUGGGUAAUAUUGGACGAUGGGCGAAAGCCUGAUCCAGCCAUGCCGCGUGUGUGAAGAAGGGCUGCGGAUUGUAAAGCACUUUAAGUUGGGAGGAAGGGCAGUAAGUUAAUACCUGGCUGUUUGGACGUUACCAACAGAAUAAGCACCGGCUAACUUCGU
rnacentral:rRNA from 1 species